ensembl:lncRNA
CACACACACACACACACACACACACACAGUCUGAUAGUUUCAUAAUUUAGAAUUGGGGACUGAAGAAAUAUUUGAAACAUGGAUUGUUUUUACACACAGCUGCUGCAGAUGACGGUGAAAGUACCAUUUCAAAUGUUUUUACCUACAAGUCAAAAUCUAGUAGAGGGAGAUUGUUAGUACAGGCAGACAGCAGCAGUUAAAUCAGCUAUUUCUCUAUUUUUUUUAUUUUUAACUUGUUAAUUGUCUGCUUUACACAGCUGAUCUAAUAUUUCCUGACAUGAUAGGGGUGUCCAAAUUCAUAGGCUGCAUCUACCGGAGGCCGGAUUUGUAGGCCGAUUAUGUCACAGCGACGCGACGAAGGCUGUCCAAAUUCGUAGACUCCUCCAAAUGCGUCCUCCUUUUCUCCAGAUUUGAAGGAUAGGUCGGGUGUAUCCUUCGUGGCCCACCCUAUCCCAGAAUUCAUAGCGUGGCCCAGCCAAUUCCAGUUUCCAACAAUGGUGGCAGCUACUUAGUUUUAAUAUUACUCUUUGUGGGUCACAAAAUAAACUUUUAAGAUAUUUUCAGGCAAGAAUGCAGCUGUGUAAACUUCAAAUAUCUGCUCGGUUUAUCAAGACAUCGCACAUUUGCAAAAGUACCCACCAGCUCGAUAGCUAGCCAGCCCAGAACUCAUUGCGGAAUUUUUCUCGUAACAAUAGCGGUCGAAGUGGGAGAUGAAUGCACUUUUAAAUGUACGUAUAUGAAAAUCUGGUGGUACAUAAGUUACAUUUUUAUAGCAGUUGUGUUAGGCUUAGGGGAUUUACAGAGUUUUUUUUAAAAUUAAAACAAUCGUCGUAAAAAAAUGCCCGUAAAGUAGCUUGUAUGGUGGGUCCCGAGGUUUUUAUUGCCGCUUACAUACAGCUAAUUUUGAUUUUUCCAAAUGUACCUUUUUGUGAUAUGUUAUAGGGACCAAAGAGCAAACGGCUGAAUUCAUAAAAAUAAGAGGAGAAAAUGACCACCUCUUCACUGGGGUGAAGAAUUCAGCCACUAGGAUGGAGGUACAAGAAUAAAUCAAUUUACAAAUCAUAUUCAUAUGAGUACGGUUUUAAUAACCUUCAUUCUGUACAGAACCUGUGAUGUCCAGAUGGUAUUCCUCUUGUGUUCUGCUGUGAAAACCUUUGGAUUUAGGGAUUAACAUAGUUGUCAUGGUUUUCUCUCUUCUCUUAUUUUUUGUGUGUGAUCAGGACAAUUCUGAAGAAGAUGGGCCUGCAGGGGAAAGUCACCGCCUCGCAGGCCAAAAAGAAAUGGAACAACUUAAAAAAAAAAGAAAAAAAAAAAGAUACAAAGAUUGCAAGUAUCCAGGGUCAGGAGAGGGAAUUAGUGGGAAGCCCACUGCUGCUACUUGGCCCUGGUUUGCCCUAAUGGAUGAGGUAAUAGGACAGAGUGCCUUCCAUUAGUUCUCCUGUCCUAAUUUCCUCCAUCCCUGAGGACGCUCCAGGGCCAAGUGCAGUAGUGGGUGACCAAAGCAAAAGGGAAGAGGAGACUGAUGAGGAAGAGUGUCAGCCACCCACAACAGGGAGGAAGAGAAGAGCUCAUCAGAGAGGACAUGAGAUAUCAAAGGGAGGUGGAGGAGAGGAUGUAGAGAUUUUUUUUUCUAUUCUCUAAAUGAGUUAAGAAAUUUAUUUAUUUGAAUAUAUUUGUUACGUUGUUCUAUUUGUUGUGUUAUUUUAAAAGUUUUUUUAUUAUGAAUAAAUUGAUUUAAAAAAAUGUCACUGAACUCAUUUUAUUUACAAUUGUUUUUAACAUGUAUGAACAUAAAGCCAACUUUAAACAGUUUUAAAUUGAUAUUUAUUAAAAGUAAAUAACAAUAAAAGAAUAUUUCUAAAACAUGAACAUUAGUUAAAGAAGGAAAAAAAUAAAUACAAAUUGUCAUGGCUCUGGGUCCGUUGGACCCAGUAUGUUGAGUUUAUUAUAUUAUGAUUUGUUCUCGUAUUCUCUUGUUGUGCUAUUAGUGAUUAUGAUGAUGAUGAUGAUGAUGAUUAUUACUUCUGGUUUAGGUUUUGUUUUCUCGCCCUCAUGUUUAGUUCAGGUUCCAUGUGUUUUAUUCUGUCUCUCUUUCAGUGUCCUGUCUGCAUCCUCGUGUAGUGUUCUCUUGUUUCCUGUUUUAUGGUGAAGGUCUGCGUCUCUUGUGAAUGUGUUCAGUUUUACCUGUUGUCUCGUCUUGUUAAUUACUCCCAGCUGUGUUCACCACCUGUAUGUAAUCUCCCUGUGUUUCUCUGUGUGUAUUUAAGUCGGGUCUUCUGUCUUUGUAGUUGCUGGUUCGUCUGCGUUACUUGGUAUGUUAUGGUCUGCGUCUCUCUGUCCGUCAUUCUGUGUAUUUCCCCGUGCCUCCCUGCAUCUCUGUUUCUGUUAGUUUUUCCCAGUUUAGGUUUUCUUAGUUUUACACUCAUCCUCGCCAUCUCUGUUGGAUUUACUUUUGGGUAAUAAACGCACUUGCACCAGAGCUGCCGCAUCUUGGGUCCUAAAUAAUUCACACACGGCUUGCCCCGGCAAUCCGUGACACAAGUAUUACAUUUUUCACACAGGACCUGUUGCUGGACCUUUUUUUUUUUUUUUUUUUUUUUUUUUUUUUUUUUUUUUUGUAAAUAAACUUUGAUAGAUUACACAAAGUCUCUGUCAGUGCUGCUGGAUCUGCUGAAGCAAGAUCAGACAUGGAUGGGGUGCUGCAACUGAGACCUGUGGUUUGUCUUUUCUGGUCGGAGAGUAGAGAAUCAUACAGGGUGGUCUGCAAAGAGCUUUAGGAUGCUUCCUCCUACUGGAUAAACUUACAAUGUUAAAUUUAAAAGCAAUCUAAUUAAUUGGAUGACCUAUAUUAGUUUCUACGAAUAACUUCGUAACUACGAAUAAAGAUUUCAAACUAAUCCACCCAUUUUAGGGUGGAGCUUUUGGUUCGGAUGAGAUGAGAAACAUGCACAACAUUAUUUCAGUCUCCUACCAGUCCAACAAAUCACCAGGCACUUAACCUAACUUUUGUGUUAGAUUUG